ensembl:lncRNA
UAGAAAUCAAACUAACUUUAGGAAACAAUAUGCCAAAAGCAUAUUUACAAUUACUUAAGACCGUUUUUAAUUUCUUUUCUUUAGACCAAAUCCCCUGUACACAUAUACGGACUCAGAGGAUGAGCAACCUACAAAGAAACGGUUUCCCCAGGCCCCUCGAGUGAAAAUACCAGGUAAUAAAAUACUGUCUAGUGUCUGUGUACAUAUCUGUGUCUGACACAAGGAAACUUUUUUGACAAGUUGUCUGUAUUCUUAAAUACUUAAAAAAUGAUCUUUUUCUAAACAGCCCUCAUCACUCCAGUCUGCCCCCCAGCCCACUGAUAGCAACCAUCAUAAUGCCCCACCCAGCUUCCGGCACCUUUCGCCACUCCGGCACAAACCGACACAGCUUUGCGAUCUCGCCAGCAUGCAGUCUGAUGUCUUCCCUAUAGAUGAUUCCAGAGACUCUGUGAGGCCACUAUUACAA